rnacentral:rRNA from 1 species
UACGUAGGGUGCGAGCGUUGUCCGGAAUUAUUGGGCGUAAAGAGCUCGUAGGCGGUGUGUCGCGUCGGCCGUGAAAACCUGCAGCUUAACUGUGGGCUUGCGGUCGAUACGGGCAUCACUGGAGUUCGGCAGGGGAGACUGGAAUUCCUGGUGUAGCGGUGAAAUGCGCAGAUAUCAGGAGGAGCACCGAUGGCGAAGGCAGAUCUCUGGGCCGUAACUGACGCUGAGGAGCGAAAGCGUGGGGAGCGAACAGG